GACGAACGCUGGCGGCGUGCUUAACACAUGCAAGUCGAGCGGUAAGGCCCUUUCGGGGGUACACGAGCGGCGAACGGGUGAGUAACACGUGGGUGACCUGCCCUCAGCUCUGGGAUAAGCCUGGGAAACCGGGUCUAAUACCGGAUAUGACUCCAUGACGCAUGUUGUGGGGUGGAAAGCCUUGUGCGGCUGAGGAUGGGCCCGCGGCCUAUCAGCUUGUUGGUGGGGUGAUGGCCUACCAAGGCGACGACGGGUAGCCGGCCUGAGAGGGCGACCGGCCACACUGGGACUGAGACACGGCCCAGACUCCUACGGGAGGCAGCAGUGGGGAAUCUUGCGCAAUGGGCGAAAGCCUGACGCAGCGACGCCGCGUGAGGGAUGACGGCCUCGGCGUGUAACCUACUUCUAGCUCCGACGAAGACGAGAGUGACGGUAGGAG
rnacentral:rRNA from 1 species